AGCAGUAGCCGCGGUAAUACGUAGGGUGCAAGCGUUAAUCGGAAUUACUGGGCGUAAAGCGUGCGCAGGCGGUGUUGUAAGACUGAUGUGAAAUCCCCGGGCUCAACCUGGGAGCUGCAUUGGUGACUGCAACGCUGGAGUGCGGCAGAGGGGGAUGGAAUUCCGCGUGUAGCAGUGAAAUGCGUAGAUAUGCGGAGGAACACCGAUGGCGAAGGCAAUCCCCUGGGCCUGCACUGACGCUCAUGCACGAAAGCGUGGGGAGCAAACAGGAUUAGAUACCCCAGUAGUCCCUGUCUCUUAUAC
rnacentral:rRNA from 1 species